rnacentral:lncRNA from 1 species
AAGGAAACAAUCUCAGAAUAACAUGGGAUCAAGGAAAUGAGGAUUACUCACUUUUGCUCUUCACAGCUGAUGCUAACCAGACUCAGAAAUUUAUGUUUAAACUUCUCCUUGCGAAGCAUUCAGAUAAAAGGAUAACCCUACAUUUGAAACACUUUAGGUAUGAUUUGGUAUACAUAGGAUCCCAUGGCUUGAGAGGAAGAGUAACCAGGCUCUUGUUAGAUACACAUUGUUAAUGCUCAUGUUUAAACUUAAGCUGUCUAGAAGAUCGAACCUGCGUCCUCAUGGAUGCUAGUCAGGUUUGUUAACCACUGAGCCAUGACACGAACUCCUAGAACUUCUCUUUUGAAAUUGUCUAUUAAAACCUAUAGCAAAAAAAAUUAAAACUGUAAUUACAUUAUGCUUGCUGAAUUUCUUGACAACAAAGGAACUAAACUGUGGAUUAAUUUCUCAACCCUGUGUGAUUUUUGAGCCUAAGUAAUUUUAACUAUAAAUUAAGUUGUGUUUUUUGUUUUUACUCUGUCUUUCAAGUUACUGGGCAGAUAGCUAAUGUGGCAAAGAAAUGGUUUAUUACAUGCUGUCAAUUAUAUUGUCUCCUCUCAUCUGAUCUUUUUUCCUGAGAAUGGCUUCUAUAUAUAAAGAAUUUUAUUUUUCCUCUUUAACAUAUUCUUUUGUUCAAACUUCCUGGUAUGAAUCCUAGUAUUGUGAGGGUGGAUUGGCUAUUAGGAAACAAUGCAUUAGCUCUUGGAGCCAAGUCUAGUUUAUUUAUUCACUAGGCUUGACUCCAAGAGCUUAUGAUUAGUCUCCUCAGAAUGUUUUGGUCCAGAGAUGACAAAAUCAUGACUUAUUUUCCAAGCUACCUUGAAGACUAAUGUUGGUGCUUUGUAGACUGUAAGGGACCAAAUGAGUGUAUAAUCUUUUAUAUAAAAGAAGCAAGCAUGUAAAUAUUCUGGCUUGCUUUAUCAUUGAAAACCAUACGGGAAACAAAAACAUUAUAAAGGUUUGGAGGAGGCUCUGAAAGCAGUUCUAGCCAAGGGCCUUUCAAAAUACGACAUCAGCAGCAUAGAAAGAAACGUGUGGUCUCCUAAGGUUGAUGUAUGAGGAAAGUACCACCUAUGCUUGGAUCAUGACAGUGCUAACCAGGGUGUAUUUUGUUAUCAUGGAAACCUAAGCAUAUAAAAAUUAGCAAUAGCCUGGGUCUUUAUGAAGUUAAGAAGAGUUUUAAACAGUAACUACUUUGGAAUGCCAAAUGAGUGUAAGGAAAACUUUGUGCACUACUUCAGUUUAUAUAAAGAGAAAUUAACUCUGGUUUUGCUUUUAUUUCAUUUCCACCAAUGUGAAUUAGCCUUUUCAGCUCUGUAUUCACAUUUUUUUUCUUUUAUAGUAAACAGAGACUCUCUCCAGUUAGAGAAGUAUAGUAAUACAAAUUCAGUCCCCUGAACUACAGUUUGUAGGGGAGGUGGGGUAACAAGGUUUAAGGUAAGAAGGAAAGUUGUAAUAAUGACAGCUUUCAUUUAGACCUUCCUCUGUCUCCCUGUGGCAGGCCAGGGUAUCAUGAACUCUUCUUUCCAAAGCUUUCUUUCCCAAGGUGGAAAUGAAAUCGAGGUUGGCUUAUGGGGUUUGAGGAAGGAACUAUAAUUUCAUAUUUUUAUUGCCAGCUUUAACAGGUGUUUUUAAGUUACACAGAAAUUUUAGAUUUUUUUUUAAUUUAGUUAUUUUGUAGUCUUAUUUUCUCUGAGAACGGUGGCAGACUUGUUUCCACUUCCGGUGCAUAAUAGAUACUGUUUGUGGCUAUAAUGUUUAUUAGAUUGCUAUGGAUCCCUAAGAAUUAGCCUUUUUGUGCAGUAAUUUAAAAAAAUGUUUACUAAUCUUAAAGGCCUUGGUGGGGGUCACACUUUUCCUUUCUGCUGCUGUGCAUUAGCUGUCUAGGAAACUUUAGAAAUGAAGUUUUAGUGAUAUCAGCGAUAGUGGUAAAUGCCUCUGUGUUGUUAUUUGUAUUUUUGAACAUAAAAUGCCUUCCUUAAUACAAGGUUUUAUAUUCUGGAAAAGUUGAAACCAUGCUCUAAAUACAGAGCCGUUUAGGAAUGAUUACUUAAGAGAUUUAAUUUUCUCCAUGAUAAAUAAUACAGUGUGCCCGUUUUUACUAAUUGCGCUCCCAACCUUGGUCUUCAUAAAGUAUAUCUUAAUAAGCAAGGAGGGACAUAGGUAAGCUAGCUGACACCAGGUCCUAACUUAGUUGUUUUCAUGAUGUUUUUGAAUGAGAUUUGUUAGAAUAUGUCAUAGUAUACAAAUGAAUGUUCAAUCUUGGGUUUGUUUUCCUGUCAUUUUCAUAUGCCAGUAAUUGAUCUGAGGGCUAAGUUGCUCAUACGAGUCACUUACUCAGGAAAAUGGAAGAAAACUAAGAUAAAAGCGGGCAUUUCAACUUAUUUUUAUUUGGUUAAUGUAUAUAGUCUUUAUACAUUCAGUUUGCAGAAAAAUUUCAGGAAUUUAAAGAAGCUGCUCGACUAGCCAAGGAGAAAUCCCAAGAAAAGAUGGAACUUACCAGUACCCCUUCACAGGUGGGUGUCUAAUUUCUAUCCUUAUUUAUAAGCUCUGUUCAUUUUAGGUAUCCUAAAUAGUAUUCUUUAUGCCAGAAGUAAAUUUGGAAAAAUGAUGGCAAAAUUAAGGUGAGUUCCAAAGUGGACAUAGAAAUGCACCCUUCAGUUAAUCCAUACUAGUGGGGAAAGAGUUUUUUUUUCCUGUAUGCCAAUGUCUACAAGAAUCUCUGGGUGAGGGGGGAAUUAGUUUAGUAAUUAAAACUUAGGUUUUUUAAUGUAUAUACAAUUUUAAAACAUUUGUACAUAAAGAGCAUAGAUUGGCCUAUUGUGUACUGUGAUGGUCAGGUACAGACACAGGAGAGGCUUGGGAAAACACAAGUUUAUCAGACUCUAAGGUCCUAGAAAUCAGAAGCAAGGCAUAUCUCUAGGGGUGUAUAUAAGAGAUGCCUCGAGGAGGUCAGGAGGCAGAAAGCAGGGGUACAGGGGAACAAGGCUAGAGCCUAUAUGGGGGUUUCUGUGGGAAUGACAGGUUUAGGAUUGCCUAGUCUGAGUAAUACCUGUGGGCUCUAAACUAUAGGCCUGGUCCCUAGUUGGCAGGGACCGGGCCCUUAGAUGCUUAAGGCAGAGGAAUACUGCCCUCUGGGAUGCAGGAGCCAGAAAAAGGAGGCGUGGCUCUGGUGUGGUUAAUUAGCAUAUCAAAGACAUGCUCCCACCUUAGCCCCUUGCUAACUCUAAGAACUGGCUUCUUUUAAGAAGUCAAAACAUCACAAUAUAGAGAAAAUAGGAAUAUAUAAACAAUACAGUUUGUUCUACCUGAUUUUAAAGUGUACUUAAAGCUGGCAUUUGGGACAUUUACAUCUCAGCAGUGAGACCCAAAGGUUAUAGGUUUUAUAAAAGUAUCACCUUUUCCUUUAAUAAGUUAAUACCUGUUACUUGUCCAUUGUAGUCUUUCUUCAACUGGAGAUUAAUUAUGUCUCCAAAUAUAAGUCAUUAAAUAGUUACAUUUCAGUGCUUUUAUAAAGGUUUUAAUAUAUAUAAUGUGACUCAGAAUACCAAUAAUUUUUCAGCUUUUUCAUAAUAGACUUUUUAAAAUUAAUUUUCUUUUCAGUUAUCAUAAGAGUAAGGUUCAGCUUUGUGCUAUAUUCUUCUCUAUAGUAAUUGUUUUUGAAGUGUACUUGAAAGAUUUUUCUAAAAGGAAGUAUUGAUGUUACAGAUGUUUCUCUGGAGUAAUGUUGGUAGUAGCUGAUUUACAUAAAACUUUGUUGAAGAAGUAAAUAGGAAUUGCCUUGGGAUUUUUCACUAGCCAGACAAUUGGAACAUUUUAGAAAAUAUUUUGUUCUUCACCUUCCUCCCCACUCCCAGAACCCACCUCUAUUUGGUAAACCCUACUGGUAUAAAGAAUUUGGGGGGCAGGUCCCGUCGUGGCUCAGUGGUUAACAAAUCCGGCUAGGAACCAUGAGGUUGCGGGUUUGAUCCCUGGCCUCCAUCAGUGGGUUAAGGAGUUGCUGUGGCUGUGGUGUGGGCCAGCGGCUGCAGCUCCAAUUAGACCCCUGGCCUUGGAACCUCCAUAUGCUGCGGGUAUGGCCCUAUAAAGACAAAAGACAAGACAAAAAAAAAAA